UACAGUCACAUCAGGUUGAAACAGCGGUGUCCGUACGAUCAUCGAAGUUAAGCAACGCCGGGCCUGUUCUGCACCUAGAUGUGUGACCGCUUGUGAAUACCAGGUGUAGUAA